AUUCAGCAUAACUUCCUCAAAUGAUGGUGGUGAAUAUGAUUGUGUUGGUCGUCAGAAUGUUUCAUCUGAAACAGAGAAAAGUGAAACUGUCUCUUUUACUGCAGCAGAGAAACCCAGGGCUACACUGACAUCAGGCACCAAAACCAUCUCAGUCGGAGGCUCAGUGAGUCUUUCCUGCUCUGUGAGAGACUCUGAUGGAUGGAAAUAUGAGUUUUACAGAUUAACAUCAACCAGCUGGGAGAAACUAGUUGAAACAAAUGUUGGGGACAAUGGAGUCAUCCAGGUAUCUAAAGGAGGAAUUUACCGGUGCAGAGGAGAGAGAGAAACAUCAGGUUAUCUCUCUGACAUGAGUGAUGAAGCCUACAUUUGGAUAACUUUCACCAACAAGCCUGUCAUAACACGACAACCCAGCUG